AUGAGGCGAGGUGGCCAUAGUUCGCGUGCGGCGGCCAGCAAGAGGAAGCCCGGAGCACCAGCCCAAGGACAAGGUGGGGAUGUUGGACAGUGGUGGCCAGAUGACAAAGAUCGGUGGCUGGACAACGACACUAUGUUAGGCAGUGAACAUGGCCAACGACUGGACGACUUUGGUGACCAAGGCCGAGCGAACGGCCAGGAAAUUAGGAAGAGAGAAUCUUCUUUCAGCACAUACAUGGAUCAAACAAUUUACUGGUGCAGCCAACCAAAGGCAUGGGUGUUGCCUGCAAUGGGAGGGCCGGAGGGGCAACCAUGGGAGGUUGUGAGCACUCGGAAGCAAAUAGCUGAAUUCAAGAUAUACCGUGUAUAA
rnacentral:rRNA from 1 species